GCCUGGGUGGCUCAGUUGGUUAAGCAUCUGACUUUGGCUCAGGUCGUGAUCUCACGGUUCGUGAGUUUGAGCCCCACAUCGGGCU
rnacentral:tRNA from 1 species